rnacentral:rRNA from 1 species
UACGGGGGGAGCAAGCGUUGUUCGGAUUUACUGGGCGUAAAGGGCGCGUAGGCGGCCACCGCAAGUCAAUUGUGAAAUCUCCGGGCUUAACUCGGAAAGGUCAACUGAUACUGCGGGGCUAGAGUGCGGAAGGGGCAACUGGAAUUCUCGGUGUAGCGGUGAAAUGCGCAGAUAUCAGGAAGAACACCAAUGGCGAAGGCAGCUCGCUAGGACGGUACUGACGCUGAGGCGCGAAAGCGUGGGGAGCAAACGGG